rnacentral:rRNA from 1 species
CCUACGGGGGGCAGCAGUGAGGAAUAUUGGUCAAUGGGCGAGAGCCUGAACCAGCCAAGUCGCGUGAGGGAGUACUGCCCUAUGGGUUGUAAACCUCUUUUGUCGGGGAGCAAAAGCCGGACGUGUCCGGCUGUGAGAGUACCCGAAGAAAAAGCAUCGGCUAACUCCGUGCCAGCAGCCGCGGUAAUACGGAGGAUGCGAGUGUUAUCCGGAUUUAUUGGGGUUAAAGGGUGCGCAGGCGGAUUUUUAAGUCAGCGGUCAAAUCGUGGGGCUCAACCCCAUCCAGCCGUUGAAACUGGGGAUCUAGAGUGUGCGAGAGGUAUGCGGAAUGCGUGGUGUAGCGGUGAAAUGCAUAGAUAUCACGCAGAACCCCGAUUGCGAAGGCAGCAUACCGGUGCACAACUGACGCUCAGGCACGAAAGCGUGGGUAUCGAACAGGAUUAGAUACCCUUGUAGUC